rnacentral:lncRNA from 1 species
UUUAUCUCUCUACUCCCAUGCCUCUCUCUCUACUCUUUAACAUUCCCCCCUUCUCUUUAGACCACCACACAUUUUCAACCUUCGCCCCCAAACCCUAUUCCACCCAGAAACUAACCUAACCUACCCUAAAUCCAAUCAAACCUUACCUAAACCAUAAAUUAGUUCUUCUUAAACUCAAUCCAAACUUGAAAUCCAAAAAUCAAACCAAACUCCUCAAACUCUAAAGGUCAAACCCACUCUUUUGUCUUACCUAAAUCGAGCCCAACCGUAACCCAAAUUGCUUCA